rnacentral:ncRNA from 1 species
AAAACGAGGCCACAACUUCGGGACAAGGGGUGCUCUUCUAUUUUCUGAUUAGAAAAGCGGUACAUACCAAGAGUAGCAGUUGUUUACUAAAACACAAGACUCUACUAAGUGGUUAUACGAUGUAUAAACUCUGACAUUUGUCCGAUAAUGAAAGGUCGCAAGGAGGCGUAUCAGUUGUUUCUAAUGGAAAUCCUUGUAAACGACGAAAGUAACUUUAAUUGUCGUAAGGUAGUGAAAUUUCUUAGCUCAUAAGCAGGAACCUACACGAAUGGUGUGACAAGGGCUGUUUAAUA